GGGGAAGGGUUGCUUGCUACCUGACCUAGCGGCGGACGGGUGAGUAAUGCUUAGGAAUCUGCCUAUUAGUGGGGGACAACAUUCCGAAUGGAAUGCUAAUACCGCAUACGCCCUACGGGGGAAAGCAGGGGAUCUUCGGACCUUGCGCUAAUAGAUGAGCCUAAGUCAGAUUAGCUGGUUGGUGGGGUCAAGGCCUACCAAGGCGACGAUCUGUAGCGGGUCCUGAGAGGAUGAUCCGCCACACUGGGACUGAGACACGGUCCAGCCUCCUACGGGAGGCAGCAUUUGGGGAAUAUGUGGACAAUGGGCGUAAGCCUGAUCCACCCAUGCCGUGUAUCGUGAAGAAGGCCUUCUUGGUAGACAAACACUUUAUGCGAGGAGGAGGCUACUGAUAUCAAUACUCUUGGAUAGGGUCGCUACCUCGGCGUAUUAGCACGCGACUCUCUCUGUGCCCCCACCGCGGCUAGUACAGACGGGCUGCCAACCGUUAUCCGUUUUAA
rnacentral:rRNA from 1 species